UUCAGUUCUCCCUUUCUGCAGCUUUAGUGAUUCGUUUGACGACCCGGUGUAAGUAUAACCGGUCCAGUUCAACCUGAAUUUGAUCGCCGUCAGCACAGCCUCUGAAAGCGACACCCUGCUGGCGUCUCCAUGCUUUAAAUGCGGCUCGCCAGAGACCACAGCUCGUGUGUGAGUGUUUGCAUGUGCUCGUCCAUGUUUUCUGCAUGCUCCUGUGAGUGUGUGUGUGUCUAUGUUAUCACAGUCCCCCAGAAUACCCUUUGGAAAGUCUUCAUGCCGCUGACACGGGCUGUGAAAAAUCUGGAAAUGAGUGCUGCCCUAAUGCCACUGCCUUAAUUUGUUAUCUGAAAAGAGAAUGAUUACUCAUGAAAUUCAACCAAACCUCAGACUAUUUGAGCCGAGCCAGAUAACGAGCUCGCUCCCCGGCAGCCCUCUGCUACCCUCGUCUCCAAGGAUUUGGAGAAAAGUUCGGCGCUGCCUCUCUUCCUCAAGUCGCCUGCUUUCAAGUCAGCUUGUUUGAACACGAUGCCGGCCUGCAGACCGGGCGGCGGACAGCGCCACCUUCCUGGUAGAGACGCAGAGGGAAGGAGCCAGCGCUCCCUACGCCUCAUUAAAACACACACACACUCUGCUCUCUGUGGGGAAUUGACACAGAAUCCAUACGUUUCGCUGAAUUCUCACUCACUUGACUCUUUUUAAGUCUUUAAGUCAAGAAGAUGUGCAGAGCAAAGCGUCGUGGCGGGGUGGAGGAGCUGAGCGCAGCAGAGUCGAGCCAGCAGAGGGGGGAUCUGCUCCUUCAAUCUGUGUUUCUGCAGGGUGCCCUAAUCAAAGGCACCCGGGCCCGUCUGCGGCACCCAGAGCAAACCGGCUGGGCCCGUCAUUAAAGGCAGCCAACGCAGCAGUGGGCGACACUACACCAGCGGCCCCCGAGGAUUAGGCUCUGUGUUUACACCCCACUAAUCUCAUCCCUCUGUCCUCCCCGAGAAGAGACGGCUGGAUGCGGGGAGAGGAGAUGGAGGGGAGCGGGGAGAGCCAGCCGAGCUCUCAUCUCUCCACGGCGACCAUCUCUGGGCUUUUUCUCACAGCGGGCGAACAGAUGAAAUGAAAUCAAAUGCGAAACGGAGAGAGAAGGGAGACAGGGAGGCAUCGAGCGGAGGAGUGGUGUUCAGUGUCAGAGAGGGGGAGGAAGACGAAGGAGGAGGGUGAGCCUCCUGCCAAGUCCCCCUCCCCCACCCCACUUUAAACUCUCCUGCAUGUCAGCCAUUACUGUAAGUGCAGGAUAUAACUGUGGAGCAGUUGGAGAGCGUCACACAAAUCUUCAAAUCAAACAUUGCUACAUUACAAGGCGAUGAUAAUGCGCCGCUGCUCGGCUUCUGCUGCCUAAGCACUUUUUCUGCUGCCAAAUAUUCAUGGCUGUGCAGUAAUUGUGAGGCCGGGAAAAUGGAAGUGUUAGCAACGUUCUUUAUGAGUGACCUGGAUCCCUCUCAGGGGGGCUGCGACCUCGCCGUGACCCCCAACGCCACCACAGAAGAAGAACCCUUCUCCUUUCAUCUCUAACCACCUUUUAUAAACAUUAGAGCCACGAGAGUCGUCUUCGCUUUUAUCGGAAACUUUGGAUGUAAAUCCCGAGUCGAGGGAUUUGACUCUGAGGCAGCAGGAAGGCGACUUUCACGCUGAGACUGAUCCGACUGGACAGCAGCUGGAGUAAAAGGCAUCUCCGCCGUGCCGCUUUCACCGAGGGCAGAGAGGGUGAAGGGCGUGUCGCUCCGACAGAGAGACCAACUCUUUGCUGUCAGAUAAAAUCUGAUCAGCUCUGCCUCUGCAUCUUCAGACAUCUCAGGAUCUGAACUUCCCUCCCAAACCGCUAAACAUCAAGCGCAAAAUCAAUUUUGAUACGCAAAAUCAACAGAUCCCGGCAUUUCUUACACCAAAACUCAAUUGCAAGUUUAUUGGAAUUUAAUUGUCAGACAUUGGGUGAUUAAUGCUAACUCCCACCUGCAGGUGGCAGUAUUUUUUACAUCUACUACACUGCUGACAGCUAACAAAAAGUUACACUUACUGUCACA